AAGCAGGCAACACAGACAAUGCAACUGAUCCUUGGACAAGCUCUUGCUUGGAGCUGUGAAAGUCAUUGAAGAAGUCUGGGAUGCAGCAUUGCUCCUUAGCUGGUCCAUAGCCAGCUGCUUGCACAGCACCAGCAAAAUGCAUUAAUUAAAACAACCCCAUACCUGUAUAUCCCUACAUCUGCACUAGUCUGGCUUCAGAAGCAGGGAGCUCAGUGCCGAUGCUGAAGCCCACUGAAGAUGUGCAGUAGGCACUCCAGCAGUGGAGCUCCUGUGGGUCCAGUUCAGCUCUGCAGCCCAUUUCUGUAGGGCUGUCCAUGGGAAACGAGCCUGCCCCUGGCUUCCACAACGCUCCCCUUGAGUGCAGGAGGUGCUCAGAACGCUGAGGACCUUCAGCAAACUGCAGGUUUCCUCCCCCUUCAGGCAAACGAAUGGAAAUGCAAGAGCUCGCUCUCCUUCCCAGCUUGCUCUCCUUCCAGUUGACUGCAUUCGCUCCCACCCUCCCCAGGGCUUGUAGUCUGCAUGGCCCAGAGGACAAGGGCCAGCGGGCUGCCGGGAGAGGUUUUGUCCUGCUCCACAAACGAUGUUCACCGGCACUGGACUGUAUCUCACAUACAUCUGUCUGGAAAUGCUAGACACGUUGCUCCCAUGGAUGUUGUUGGCUGUUGAAUCUACUGGGUCACGGCUUUGGGAUCCAAAUCUGCUCCUAAUAUUACAAUUUUCACUGGUUCUUGGGCAUUUUUGAAGGAUCUGCAACAGUAGCUUAUCAACUACUCUGUUGCUGGUAAACUUCGAUGUGUGAAUAAAUAAAUAAAUAAAUGCAUAAAUAAAUCGAGGUAUAAACCUCUAUACAGUUUGAUCCCCUAGGUCUUACCUACUAUAGAAACUUCUGCGUCAGAUGUAAUAUAGGUUAUCAGUUUAAGUGUAUUAGGCAACACUCCUGGCAUAGUAAAUGCAGCUGAUAACAGCAAAAAGUCACAAGCCUAUGCUGAUAUAGCUUUAGGAGUUGCAAUAAUCCGGCAGAAUUACAUUUUAAAGACACGAACUGCAUCUACCAAAUGACUGCCUGCCCACCCUUUUGAGACGAUGCAAGGCUUUAGAUUGCAAACCAUCAGGGGCGUGAACUGCAUCUUCACUGAGCCUCCAGCACAAUAGAGCCCUACCUGUGCGGCUGGAAGUGCCUUCAAGCUAAUGAGUCACACCACAACUUACGUUUCAUGUGAGCACUUAAUUAGAUCGAACUCUGCUAAUUUAUGAGAUAACAAGAUAAGGUUAGACCAGUUAAGUAUAUGUGGUGGGUUUUAUCUUUUACCACCGGUAGGCUUCCCUUGGUUUUUGUUUUUUUCUCUUUAAGUUUAACUCGCUGAAGUGUUUAACUUGCAAUUCCCCACAAGGUGUUAUCAGCACUCACCUGAAAGAAAAGGAACCUGGAGGAACCUGGAGCUUCUGCACGGAGCAGCCCUGGAAAGGAGACUGCAGAAUGAGGGACAUAAUGAGCACUUUGCAGGCCUUCAGAAGGUGACAAUAGCCAUUGUUUAAAGCCAGGUGAGGGGCUCAUUACCUUGUAAAUCGUGGGUGCACAUCUACACACACAUAUCUAGCUAGACCCAACUCCUUACAGAUACAAGUAGAGAACAUGUAAAGAUUGUACAAUUAUUAUUAAGCCUGCUCAGUCUAAAGUGAUCCUAACUGGUUUCAGUGGAAAUGACCUUCCAGGAAAAACUGUCCAUCCAUCCAUCCAUCCAUCCAUC